GAGCAGCACCACAAGCCAAUCAACCAACAAAGAGAUACGCUUCACAGAAGGAAGAGAUAGAAUCCAGCUUUUGUUUGUUAUCAGGAGUGCAAGUUCCCAACAUCGCUCCGGUUGGAAUUAGAGAAACUAAGUUCGUUUCGGUAUGAGAAAAUAACCAAUCCUGAAUAAGGGAUAAGUCAGGCGUGUACAGACUAUGGCAUCGUUAAGCCCUUUUAAUUAAGUGUGAAAUGUGUUGUUUCAAAGUAGCUAAGGGAAGUUUGGUCGGAGACCUGAUCUUUGGUCAUAUAGCCGUGUG
rnacentral:lncRNA from 1 species